AAUAAGAAAUGUAUAUUUGGUUUCUGUCCCCGGUUCCUGGCACAUACCAAGAAAGACCCUUGGCCUCUCUGGAGCGACAAAAGUGUCUUGUGUGCCAAUGAAAUGACUGGUGGCUGGGGGCUUCUGGACAGCCUCAGUAUGGGGGCCAGUUGCCUUGGGAACCAACCAAGUGAUUAGAAGAUUGGAUCUUUCAAGCCCACCCACCACCUCUGGGGGAGGAGAGAGAGGAUGAAGGUUGACUUGAUUGCCAAUGGGCUUGCCCCUUCCUGGUCAAGACACUCCAGCAUUAGAAUCAAGAUAUCAUCCAGUUUUUUUCCCUGAUCUUUACUAAUUUCAGAGAUGAACAUAUUUUAAUCCGGGUCAGAUCAGCUCCUUGCAGGGAGGAAUUUCUAUCAUUCUCUUUCAAAUGUACAUCCAAGGGCAGAGUUCACAUGAAGACGUGGGCAAAAAAUGCUCUUCUGGCAUGUUCUCAAGUCAAGAAUCUCAUUCUGGGAAGAGUCCUGUGGAACCUACUCUCAGAUGUGAGCUAAUUAGUGAGCUGCACAUCAAAAGAAGUGAAGUGUAUCUUGUAAAUAGGAUUUCAUUUAAAACAGAUCAAAGAAAGAUCUACUGAAUCACUCCCUCAUCCACUGAUUUCUCCAAGCAUCAGGCAGACAGUGAAGAGAACAACAAGUCACGAGAAUGAUAAACAUAGCUCCAAAGAACAACUGUGAUGCUCAAGUCAAAUAUUAAUGAGAAGAGAGAACCAAAUAUAUCCAGGGGUGGAAUUAUACUUCCUGGGACAUGCAUGGUUGGGUUUCUGAUGUAGGCCAGGAGGGCAGUAAUCUGUGUUUGUGACCCAGUCUACUUCUAAAAAUACAAGGUUAGAAAU
rnacentral:lncRNA from 1 species